CCUACGGGAGGCAGCAGUGAGGAAUAUUGGUCAAUGGACGAGAGCCUGAACCAGCCAAGUAGCGUGAAGGAUGACUGCCCUAUGGGUUGUAAACUUCUUUUAUAUGGGAAUAAAAUGUUCCACGUGUGGGAUUUUGUAUGUACCAUAUGAAUAAGGAUCGGCUAACUCCGUGCCAGCAGCCGCGGUAAUACGGAGGAUCCGAGCGUUAUCCGGAUUUAUUGGGUGUAAAGGGAGCGUAGGUGGAUUGUUAAGUCAGUUGUGAAAGUUUGCGGCUCAACCGUAAAAUUGCAGUUGAAACUGGCAGUCUUGAGUACAGUAGAGGUGGGCGGAAUUCGUGGUGUAGCGGUGAAAUGCUUAGAUAUCACGAAGAACUCUGAUUGCGAAGGCAGCUCACUGGACUGCAACUGACACUGAGGCUCGAAAGUGUGGGUAUCAAACAGGAUUAGAUACCCUUGUAGUC
rnacentral:rRNA from 1 species